AAUAGUCUUUUAAUUGGGGGCUUGAAUGAACGGUCGGACAAAAGAAAAGCUGUUUCGUUAGUAAAUUUUGAAUUUAAUAUUUAUGUGAAAAAGCAUGAAUGAAUUAGGGGGACGAUAAGACCCUAUAAAACUUUACGCAAAUUAUGUGCUUUCUUAAAUUUUAGUAAAGGGCAAGUGGAGUACUAGCGUUGGGUUGGGGCGACAAAGAUAAAAUAAGUAACUGUCUACGGGUUAAAAUAAUUAUAAUUAGAAAAUGAUCCUUUAAUAAAGAUUAAGAGAUAAAGUUACUUUAGGGAUAACAGCAUAAUUUUUUCUGAGAGUUCUUAUCGAUGAAAUUAGUUGUGACCUCGAUGUUGAAUUAAGAUUUCCUCUAGGAGUAGAAAUUUAGGGGGAAGGUCUGUUCGACCUUUAAAUUCUUA
rnacentral:rRNA from 1 species